UCUGGAUAUUCAAUAAUUAGAUUUCGCUAUGAUUUGUAGUUACCUUUCUAGGAGGCCAUUACAUGUGUAUUAUUUAGAUUGGUAUUUUUUGGUAGUAUUUACUGUUAAAACCGUCUUGUAUUUUAUCACUAUACAGAGCUAGUAGUUUAUUUGAAGGGAAUUGUGAUGUUCAUUUGGAUUAAAUUGUAAGCAAGAUAAAUAAUUAUCCCCAUUUUCUUUGCUCAUAUUUGGUACGGAGUUAAUUUAAUUUUUCCUUAUAUAAUUUUAUUACACAAUUUUUUAAUAUAUGAAACCUAAUUUUAUUUGCUACCGCAUUUAAAUUGGUACUUCCUCUCUAAAGUAAUAUAUAGGCGUUUAGAUCACUAUGUAAACGAUGUAAACUUCGCUUAAAAAAAUCUAAACGCUCUUAUAGAGGGAGUAACAUAUUACUCCUCUUUACACUACUGUGCGCAUGUUUAUCAGUGAUAGAUUUUUUGCUUUGGUCGUCGGCGUGUUUCGCCGGCCGCGGUCGGCGCUGGCGUCCUGUCUAGUUUGCUCGCCUGAUCGGCCCCAUGAGAGUGGAUGCGGCAGUGGCUCUCGUUGACAACGUACAUCAGUAACCUCAAAAGGUCAUUCCUCGCGAACACAUCGCAACGCCGGCUGUAGCGGCAGCCAUCCGGCCGUUCCCCUUUGCCGUGUGGUAGGUCGUCCCUGCUGAAUCUGCAAUCUCCUCCGAUGCCCGUGUUGUUGAGCGGAGUUUCCGCAUCCAGCAACAACGGCGGCUAAUCUUAUCCAUCCCCAUUUUCCCUUGACCCUGUGUUUGUACAAACAGGUGCAUAUCUUUCCUUUGCCUUACCAUGUCCUCUCUCUAUGAAAUAAAUUUUAGGCAUGCAUAGCACGGUUAUCAAAUUACUGUUUCUAAUAUUUUUUCUAGCAAUUAGACUCUUGGAAUUUUCUAUUAUUUGUUAAAUCAGAUCUGAAUUGCUAGGGAAGAAAGAAAGGUUAUAGUAAUUGAUAAAUGCACACACAUCGCACCUACUGAACGAUAUAAAGAUUAGCAAAACCACAUUAGAUGUUCAGUAAUAAUGGAGCUAAGAAAUCAUCAUGCUCUCACCCAUGUGCUCGAAUAGCAGUGUAGUAGAUUCAUUCAUUGUGGCAUAGAACCAUUUAAUCGAAAAGCACUGCAGUAGAAUCAUUGAUAGGGGUUUGUUUGUAUCUUUCAGAAUAAAUUUAAAAUGUCUCACAUUUAAACUAUUUAUUUUAGUUGGAUGCCCUCUAUAAUGUCAAGUAAGUUUACUUUUAUCUUUCAGAAUAAAUUACCAUGUAGAACUAUUUCAAAACAAAAAGAAAAGAUUACUCAUGCCACAUUAGAAACAAUCAUUAACUGUUCUGGUUUUUAGUUUAAACAACUUGCACUAAUUUUACAUGGUUAUGCUUAUGUAUGAAAUCAAUCGAGCAACCUCGCUUCUCGAUGGGGAAUCCUCAGAAGAUAUGUAUCCACCUGAAACAAAUAACAACUUUCUAAAUAUGAUUUUGAGAAACUAAAUUAGGGAAUCUUCCCUGUAAUCACCUUUUGAAAUAUAAACAAUAAAACAGUAGGUGAAAUGGCAUAUAGUACCUAUUAUUUUGUCACGCACGCACAAAUAAUUCAAUCUGCACCUAAAGUCUGAAUAAAAAAUCUUUAUAUGUACGUGCAUGUAAGUAUAAUGAAUAUUUAUUCGACACUUGCAAGAAUCAUAAGAACACAUUCAACAAAUUAAAGAGAAAAAUGUGUACCAUAUACGCACUUGCAGAUUGUAUGACACCAAUCAGAUUGUUCCUGCCGGAAGCAAGCUCACAAACACUAUAUUUGGGUUUGUUAAAUGGAUGCAUCAGAACAUUGAGUUUGCUAGAAAUUCUAAAAUCAUACUAAAUUAAAUAAUGACUAUAGACUAUAUAUGAAUAUAAUAAGAUACCCAAAAGUAAAUAAAUUUCGUUCUGAUAAAAUAUUUCAGAUAUAUCCAUUUGAAACCAAAUAAGGCUGCUAUGUCUGCAUCACAUUAUAUUUAGUCAUAUCAGAAUGCUUGUAACAAUAUCUAUAAUAUAUCUUUGUAAACAAUGUUUUUUGCAACCUUGUCGGAUGGACGCUCUUCAUCUGAUAUGAGUAUCUUCAAUCCAUUUCUGCUGGUCACCCUUGACAUUGCAACAUAGAGUUGUCCAUGUGUGAACACUUGCCUUUCUAAGUAGAGUCCAACUUUUUUGAGAGAUUGCCCCUGGCUUUUGUUUAUAGUCAUCGCAAAGCACACUGAUAUUGGGUAUUGUCUCCUUUUUAGAAUGAAAGGCCAUUUUGAAUCACUUGGUGACAUGAUAAUUCGUGGGAUGUAAACUUUGUCACCAACGUUAGGACCUGUUAUGACAUGUCCUUCAAUGAAACGCUUUCCUAGCUGUGUUAUUGUUAGUCUUGUCCCAUUGCAAAGUCCUGCACUUUGAUUGAUGUUCCUCAUAAGCAUUAUUGGUAAUCCUACUUUCAGCCUCAGUUCAUGGUCUGGAAUUCCAGAAAAUGUAAGACUAUUCAGAAACUCAGUUGGGUACAACAUAUCUUCAUCUUCCACUGUAGACAUUGCCUUGCAUGUUGUAUCUGAACUGAAAUAGGUUACCUCUUCUCCAGGGAUUUGACUCAUGAUGUAUGCAUUAAUCUGGUCAAUAGUCUCGUUUCUUGGGCACAAGAUCGCUCUUUCCUCUAGGUAUGUUCUAUCAGUGUAUUUUCUGUGUAAGUCAGGAUAGGUGGUGUUAACAAUAGAUGCUUUCGGGUCAUCCCCUUCAUGUAAAAUAAGGUCCUCUGGGAUGCCAACCCAAUCCUCUUGAUCUAUUGUUGACGUUGUGCCAUCACCUAUGUUUAGUAUCCAGUUUGCGAAUUCAGCUAUUUUUGCUUUCUCUUCUGGACUACCUUCGGAUGAAUUCAGACACAUAUUUUCUUUGAGUCGGUACUCCUGAAAGUUCUUCCAUAGGUAGGAUCUCUUUAUUGAUGCAGAAAUGAUAUGUUCUCUUUUCCCCUUCGGUAUAACUGGUAGGAUUUGCCUGAAGUCACCUCCCAAGACUACUGUCAUUCCUCCAAAUGGUCUAUUCUCUGCGUCCUCAUAUGUGAACCGAAGUAUGUCUCUCAAACUUUUAUCUAGUGCCUCAAAACAGCGCUUGUGUGUCAUAGGUGCUUCAUCCCAUAUUAUCAGUGACAUUUUCUUUAUUAGCUCCGCAAGAAAUGUUCCUUGCUUGAUGUUGCAUGUGGACUCAUUAGUGAUCUUGAGGGGAAUGUGAAAUCUUGAAUGAGCUGUUCUUCCACCCUGUAAAAGAAGUGCUGCUAUACCACUUGAAGCAACUGCUAGAACUAUUUUUCCUUCAGAUCUUAAUUUUGUCGUGACUGCUUUCCAAAGAAAUGUCUUUCCAGUUCUACCAUAUCCGUCAACAAAAAUCAAUUUCCCAAGACUGUCGUUGACUGAUUCUAUUAUAACGUCAAAAGCCAUCCUCUGAUCCUGAUUUAGCUUAUGCAUUAACUUCAUGUCUCUAUUCUUAAAGAAUCUUUAUCGUAGUUUGGUUCCUCAUUUACUAAUCUAUUAUUUAGAUCUUGAAUAACUGAACUAUAUGGUAGUGGCAUUCUUGGAAAAUCUUUGAGGGACUUACCACCUUUAGUCAACAGUUGUUCUAUCUCUGCCAGGAGCAGGCUCUUUAUUUGUGCCGAGUUGAGUUCCAGGGCCUGAAAAUUGAAUAUUCUUCUUUGCCGACGUUGGAUAUCCUCAGAUAGUAACUCCCAAUUUUUUGCCACAACUUUGCGAGAUCCGUCACCUCAGAAAAUAAAAGUAUUGUGCAGAAAAGUUGGCGCAUUUGAGGAGCAGAGGCCCAAUGGGAUGCUUCCUUCAUGCAGUCAUCCCACUCUUUGUCGUCGUUAAGUAGCCCAAGAGCAUAACAUGCGGCUUUGAAUGUUGGAUGUACAACCCCAUCAACUGUUCGAAUUUCUUCAUAUGAUCUGCAUCCUUUGACGGUAUUUAACAACAUUCUCAAGUAGUAUUUUUCACCGCUCAUUGUUUGUGCAUAGUAAAUCCUGCCUAUGGUUUUUUUCCACCACGCCUUUUCCUCCAUUCUUUCUCUUGUGCAUGCCAAGUCCAUUUGGUUGGAAACUGUGCAUACGUCAAACUGUGAGCUUCUUCAUGCAACUGGUUGGCUGUCAUCCAUUCUGUGAACAUUGUCUUUUCUAUGUUAGGCCGGGAUACAAUUUGAUCUAAAUCCAUUGAGUCCGGGAACACCACGACAUGUUCAUUUUCUAGGUGAAAUUGUAACCUUUCAACCGCAGGCUCUCUGUACUGAAGAGGAAACUGAAAUAUGCGCCAUGCGGCUUCACAUCCAGAUAUGUACCGGGCAUCAAGAGACCAAAUUGUGGAACUGUGAUGUUACCUGUGCUUGUGCUUCUCUCUCCAUGCCACAUAAUGGCAUUGCAAAAUUCAGAAACACAAUUUGGUUUUCCCAGAUAUGAAAUUUGAGUGACAUCCUUCGCUACAUGAGAUACUUCACAGUCAUUGCCCUUUGCUGUCCUUAGUCGUUUGCUUGCCUUUUUCAGCUUGAGGAUCUCUUUCCUUUUCCGCCUAGCUUCCUUUGCUGCUGCUCUAAUGAUGUCUGAUUGACUAUCAUUAGAUUAGAGUGUUGCUAGUUUGGAGGCUGCUUGCUCAGGUAUUUAGAUUCCUUGAUGAUGCCACAUAUUCCUGCAUUUUAUUGUUUUUAUCACUUUAAUAAUCCAAGUAAAUUAAUAUUUAUAUGAUUAUUUUUGGUACUGUGGUAAUGAACACCUUCCGUUGUUUUGAUUUGCUCUAGUGCGUGUUUGACACAUGUUGACUGCGGCUAGUGAAUCCUGAAAUAAAUGAGGUAAAAGGUGUAACUGAUUUUAUUCUGAGAUAUAAGUGAGAACAUCUUAUACUUAACUGAUUUUAUUUGUCUAGAAAUUCAGAAUUGUUGAUGAUAAAUUUAAUGUAAACAUGUCAGGCACCACAUUGUUUGCAAGGAUGCUGAAGGUAUUUGUAUGGAACAGAUAGUUUCCUGAUAAGAUUCUUUUUCAUAUGGAUUGUUUUCCAAUAGAGGAUUUUAAAUCGUCUAAAAUCAUUAUUCUAUUGUGAAAGAAGGAUACUUGUGUUGUCACCUUCCGAUGAGAGGACGUAUAUGCUCUGUAAUUGGUGAUCAGAAUCUCAAUUUUAUCGCCACUUUCUCUCUGUAAUUCAAGUUAAUACAAAGCAUGUGUAAUGAGAUCGGAGAGUUGAUGUAUAUAUUAAUCAUUGCAGGAGACAUGCAUAUAUUAUUUGUGGAAGGAGAUAAUGAACAUUGGCUGCAAGUACUGCCACACAACCUGUCUGCUCCUUGUUGCUUGCGAGAGGAGGGCAAUGUCUUGCCGGGAUGUGCACGCUCUGUAAUUGGUGAUCUGAAUCUCAAGUUUAUCGGCGCUUUCUCUCUGUAAUUCAAGUUAAUACAAAGCAUGUGUAAUGAGAUCAGAGAGUUAAUGCAUAUAGUAUUAAUCAUUGCAAGGAGACAUUCAUGUAUUAUUUGUGGAAGGAGAUAAUGAACAUUACCUGCAAGUACUGCCACACAACCUGUCUGCUCCUUGUUGCUGGCGAGAGGACUAAUUAUUGCAUGUAUGUGAUGAAGGACGAGAUCGGGAGCGGUGUCUUGCCUGGAUGUGCACGAAUUGAGUCGAUAUAGAAUUCUUAUUUGUAAAGAAGCAUAGUUAAGGCUAGAGUUUGUAGGUUAGAGUUUGUCAUCUGUACGUUUUAAACCUAUACAAUAUCUGAGCCGUUAUUAUUUUGUGUCAGCAGAUAGAUAGCUCCUACUUGAAGUCAGUUUCCAUGUAUACUACAAUAUAUGCACGUCUCUGUUUCUUACACGUCUUGUCUACACAUUGUUUUUCUUCA